rnacentral:lncRNA from 1 species
UAUAUUUUACAGAGUAUUGCUCAGAUAAUAUGGAUAUGUGAUAAUGCAUUACUAAAAUAUUAUGUCCAUAUGGUAGAGGAUAUAGUGCCGGGUUAAGGGGCAACCUAAUAUUUCGAUUAAAUAUGGAUAUUAAUAGGGAUAUAGUAAUUAAAAAUAUUAGUAUUUCUAAAAUAAUAUAGAUAUCUUGCAGAGUAUUGCUCAGUUUAUAUGGAUACGUGAUAAUGUAUUGCCAGAACGUAGUCUGGAUAUGUUAUAACACAGUAUUGUUGACUAUAGUGCAGAGUAUGAAUAAUAAUAUGGAUAUAUGAUAAUGUAUUGCCAAAACAUAAUCUGGAUAUGUUGCAACACAAUAUUGAGUAUUGUGCGGAGUAUUUUAAAAACAUAGUGGAUAUAUGGUUCACAAGGAAGUUAGGAUUGCUAGCAGUUGCACUAUGACAUGUAAGUAUGUGUUAAUAGUGCUUUAUAAGUGAUUCUCUUUCUCGAAUAAAGUGUUGAAAAUGGAGUA